GUAGCAAGUUAUUUUAAUUUGUAUUAAAAUCAAGAUUUUGUAAUUAGACUUUUGUUUCGCCCAUCCCCUCAAUUGUUAACGUUAAAUAAUUUUCUAG